rnacentral:rRNA from 1 species
UAACACGUGGGUAACCUGCCCAUCAGAGGGGGAUAACAUUCGGAAACGGAUGCUAAAACCGCAUAGGUCUUCGAACCGCAUGGUUUGAAGAGGAAAAGAGGCGCAAGCUUCUGCUGAUGGAUGGACCCGCGGUGCAUUAGCUAGUUGGUGAGGUAACGGCUCACCAAGGCCGUGAUGCAUAACCGACCUGAGAGGGUGAUCGGCCACAUUGGGACUGAGACACGGCCCAA